rnacentral:rRNA from 1 species
UACAGAGGUCUCAAGCGUUGUUCGGAUUCAUUGGGCGUAAAGGGUGCGUAGGUGGCGCCGUAAGUGGGGUGUGAAAUUUCGGAGCUUAACUCCGAAACUGCAUUCCAUACUGCGGUGCUCGAGGACUGGAGAGGAGACUGGAAUUCAUGGUGUAGCAGUGAAAUGCGUAGAGAUCAUGAGGAAGACCAGUGGCGAAGGCGGGUCUCUGGACAGUUCCUGACACUGAGGCACGAAGGCCAGGGGAGCAAACGGG